CCCUAGCCCCGAUGGGAGGGAAAAUCCUUUUGUUUUGGGGUUCAAAACAAAAGAUUUGGAAGGACGGCGGGAAAUAAC
rfam:Flavobacterium sp. LM4 uFlavobacterium_sp_LM4_contig3, whole genome shotgun sequence.